GAUGAACGCUAGCGGCAGGCCUAAUACAUGCAAGUCGAGGGGUAGAAGAGGCUUGCUUCUUUGAGACCGGCGCACGGGUGCGUAACGCGUAUGCAACCUACCUUCAUCUGGGGGAUAGCCCGGAGAAAUCCGGAUUAAUACCGCAUAAAAUCAUAGGAUGGCAGUAUCCAAUGAUCAAACAUUUAUGGGAUGGCGGUGGGCAUGCGUGUCAUUAGCUAGUUGGCGGGGUAACGGCCAACCAAGGCGACGAUGACUAGGGGAUCGGAGAGGAUGGCCCCCCACACAGGUACUGAGACACGGACCAGACUCCUACGGGAGGCAGCAGUAAGGAAUAUUGGUCAAGGGAGGCAACUCUGAACCCGCCAUGCCGCGUGCAGGAAGACUGCCCUAUGGGUUGUAAACUGCUUUUAUUCGGGAAUAAACCUUAUUACGUGUAAUAAGCUGAAUGUACCGAAGGAAUAAGGAUCGGCUAACUCCGUGCCAGCCGCCGCGGUAA
rnacentral:rRNA from 1 species